UACAGAGGUCCCAAGCGUUGUUCGGAUUCAUUGGGCGUAAAGGGUGCGUAGGCGGUCGCCUAAGUCAGGUGUGAAAUCUCGGGGCUCAACCCCGAAACUGCACUUGAUACUGGGUGACUUGAGUACUGGAGGGGAGACUGGAAUUUACGGUGUAGCAGUGAAAUGCGUAGAUAUCGUAAGGAAGACCAGUGGCGAAGGCGAGUCUCUGGACAGUUACUGACGCUGAGGCACGAAGGCUAGGGGAGCAAACGGG
rnacentral:rRNA from 1 species